AUUGAACGCUGGCGGCAUGCCUUACACAUGCAAGUCGAACGGCAGCACGGGUGCUUGCACCUGGUGGCGAGUGGCGAACGGGUGAGUAAUACAUCGGAACGUACCUUAUCGUGGGGGAUAACGCAGCGAAAGUUGCGCUAAUACCGCAUACGCCCUGAGGGGGAAAGCGGGGGACCGUAAGGCCUCGCGCGAUUAGAGCGGCCGAUGUCUGAUUAGCUUGUUGGUGAGGUAAAAGCUCACCAAGGCGAUGAUCAGUAGCUGGUCCGAGAGGACGAUCAGCCACACUGAGACUGAGACACGGCCCAGACUCCUACGGGAGGCAGCAGUGGGGAAUUUUGGACAAUGGGGGCAACCCUGAUCCAGCAAUGCCGCGUGAGUGAAGAAGGCCUUCGGGUUGUAAAGCUCCUUUGUCAGGGAAGAAACAGCAGCUCUAACACAGUCUGCGAAUGACGGUACCUGAAGAAUAAGCACCGGCUAACUACGUGCCAGCCGCCGCGGUAA
rnacentral:rRNA from 1 species